AGUAAGAAGAGAAGCCGUCCA
rnacentral:piRNA from 1 species